GACGAACGCUGGCGGCGUGCUUAACACAUGCAAGUCGAACGGUGAACGAGGGAGCUUGCUCCCUCCGGGUCAGUGGCGAACGGGUGAGUAACACGUGAGCAAUCUGCCCCGAACUCUGGGAUAAGCGUUGGAAACGACGUCUAAUACCGGAUACGACGCGGGAGGGCAUCCUCUCCGCGUGGAAAGAACUUCGGUUCGGGAUGAGCUCGCGGCCUAUCAGCUUGUUGGUGAGGUAACGGCUCACCAAGGCGACGACGGGUAGCCGGCCUGAGAGGGUGACCGGCCACACUGGGACUGAGACACGGCCCAGACUCCUACGGGAGGCAGCAGUGGGGAAUAUUGCACAAUGGGCGCAAGCCUGAUGCAGCAACGCCGCGUGAGGGACGACGGCCUUCGGGUUGUAAACCUCUUUUAGCAGGGAAGAAGCGAAAGUGACGGUACCUGCAGAAAAAGCACCGGCUAACUACGUG
rnacentral:rRNA from 1 species